rnacentral:rRNA from 1 species
UGCCAGCCGCCGCGGUAAGACGGAGGGUGCUAGCGUUGUUCGGAAUCACUGGGCGUAAAGGGCGCGUAGGCGGCCCGAGCAGUCGGUUCGUGAAAGCCCGGGGCUCAACCCCGGAGGUGCGAUCGAUACUCUCGGGCUGGAGGCCGGAAGAGGAGGGUGGAAUACCCAGUGUAGAGGUGAAAUUCGUAGAUAUCGGGUGGAACACCAGUGGCGAAGGCGGCUAACUGGCUCGGUACUGACGCUGAGAUGCGAAAGCGUGGGGAGCAAACAGGAUUAGAUA